GAACGUGCACCCUUGUGUAGGCAGGAGAAUUGGCUUUCCAAGGGUCUCUCCUGAGUGAUCGAACGGCUCUGCAUGGGGACACCUGAGGUCACCUCCAGUCCUGGCCUGGCCCCAGCCAGCCCAGAGCACCCUUCGCGUAGGGCUGCAGGAAGGUCUCUUGGGUACACGGAAUGUAUGGACUCUCUCGCAAAGGCCUCCCAGGGACACCAGGGGCUCAUUAGCUGCCAGCUGGAGAGUCCUUCUUUACCGCCCCCACGGCUGGAUCCAUGGCCCCACAGCUCCUGAUGCCGGUGUCUGUCACAGAAGUCCUCCAAGAGCACGUGAUGGGCUCCUUUCUUGUCAGCUUCCCCCAUUGUCACCUGAGUUCCUCAUGGGCAGGACUAUGAGUCCUUACGUCUGGAUGUCCUCAACAAUGAGCGUGUAGAAAAUAUUAUCAGGAAUAUUUGCUGAUCUAAUGUCUGAUUGAAUAAACACAUAAAGGAAGCAAGGAGGGAGAAAGGGCAAGAGGGACUGAGGAAAUAGAGAGAGAGGGAGUUUAGAACUGAAUGUAUGUUAAAUUUUAAAGAUGAUCACCCCAGAUUGUUAAGCUAUUUACUUUUCUUCCUUUAUCUGUUUGUCCUUUGGUCUCUAUCCUUAAAGUGGUAUAUAAUUAUGUUAUCAAGGAAGAAGUAAAGUGACCUAAGU